rnacentral:rRNA from 1 species
GAGCGGCAGCGCGGGGGCAACCCUGGCGGCGAGCGGCGAACGGGUGAGUAAUACAUCGGAACGUGUCCAGUAGCGGGGGAUAACCUGUCGAAAGAUAGGCUAAUACCGCAUACGCCCUACGGGUGAAAGCGGGGGACCGCAAGGCCUCGCACUAUUGGAGCGGCCGAUGUCGGAUUAGCUAGUUGGCGGGGUAAGAGCCCACCAAGGCGACGAUCCGUAGCUGGUCUGAGAGGAUGAUCAGCCACACUGGAACUGAGACACGGUCCAGACUCCUACGGGAGGCAGCAGUGGGGAAUUUUGGACAAUGGGGGCAACCCUGAUCCAGCCAUGCCGCGUGAGUGAAGAAGGCCUUCGGGUUGUAAAGCUCUUUCGGACGGAACGAAACGGUUAGCGUGAACAACGCUGACUAAUGACGGUACCGUAAGAAGAAGCACCGGCUAACUACGUGCCAGCAGCCGCAGUAAUACGUAGGGUGCGAGCGUUAAUCGGAAUUACUGGGCGUAAAGCGUGCGUAGGCGGUCCCCCAAGUCAGGUGUGAAAUCCCCGGGCUUAACCUGGGAAUUGCGCUUGAAACUAGGUCGCUAGAGUGUGGCAGAGGGGGGUGGAAUUCCACGUGUAGCAGUGAAAUGCGUAGAGAUGUGGAGGAACACCGAUGGCGAAGGCAGCCCCCUGGGUCAACACUGACGCUCAUGCACGAAAGCGUGGGGAGCAAACAGGAUU